CACAUCAUCACCAGCACCACCAUCCUCCUCCCUCAGGUCUUGAUGCUAACAGUGUGUAGUAGUGUGUUAGUUAAAGGACACAAUGAGGAGUCUGAAAUAACCCAGAGAGCGUACGUGAUUCUACUGAAGCAGGAUUUAGUGACCAUGAGCUGUGUCCUCUCUGUCCUGCUGCUGCUCAUCAUCCUCAUGGCGGUCUGCGUCUACAAGCCGCUGCCUGGACGGUGAAACUGUGCAGAGGAGAGGAAGACACCGGGGACAGAGGAGCUGUUGUCCCGGUACAACCUGCACCGAGCACCGGGGAGCUCAUCGGCUGCAACCGGUACAACAACAACAACAACAACAGACCGGAGCUGCCUGACUGAGGAGGAAACCUGAAGAAUUAUUCACCUGUUUUUUAUGUAAUUUGUUUAUUUAAUUUGAAAUGAGCACUGAAUUAUAUUGUUGGUUUUACAAAUGUUAUUUGACAAUAACAUGAGCUAUUGCCAACAUAACACCUGUCACAUUUUAUUUGUUUGGACUUCACACCUUAAGGUUGUAAUUAGUUUUAUUCAUUUGAUUUUCCGGCUGAGAGUUGGUCUCAUCUGUUUGUUCUGAAGGAAGAAGAAGCCUGGAGGCCAAAAGCCUUUAAAUAAACUAAAGUGGGAUUUUUAAAGUGAGAGUUGUCAUGAAUCAAAUCUUCAUUAGCUUAGCCAGAGUUUAUUUAUGUAUUUUAUUCUGUAAAUGUGGGAAUCUGCUCAUCAAUUUUCUCAAAUUAACUAUUUGCCUAUUGAUUUGCUCAUGAGGGAGAUGAUGCAUUUAUAAUGUAAAGAGAAUUAUGUAAAUUAUUUUACUUUGUUUGCUGUUUUUGCCUUUUUAAAAUGAACAUUUUAAAUAUGACUAAAUAAAUCCUACAAAAAAAUAA